rnacentral:RNase_P_RNA from 1 species
GUAAGACAAGUGAUCGCACCAUAUAAUAAUUGGUGAGGAAAGUCCGAGCUCCAUAGGACAGGGUGCCGGAUAACAUCCGGUGGAGGCGACUCCAAGGAAAGUGCAACAGAAAUAAACCGCCGGCAAAAGCCGGUAAGGAUGGAAAGGCGAGGCAAGAGCUCACCGCCCCUAUGGUAACAUAGGGGGUCCAUGUAAACCCCACUCGGAGCAAGAUUGAAAUGGGAGCAUUUAAUGGCUGUCCGUCACGCUCCCCGUAAUCGCUGGAACCUGCGAGUAAUCGCAGGUCAAGAUAGAUGAUCACAUAAACAGAACUCGGCUUACGGCUU